rnacentral:rRNA from 1 species
CAGAGGUUGCAAACGUUGUUCGGAAUUACUGGGCAUAAAGCGCACGUAGGCGGUUCGUUAAGUCAUGUGUGAAAUCCCCCGGCUCAACCGGGGAAUUGCGCCUGAUACUGGCGAGCUAGAGAUCGAUAGGGGUGAGUGGAACUCCAGGUGGAGCGGUGAAAUGCGUAGAUAUCUGGAGGAACACCGGUGGCGAAAGCGGCUCACUGGAUCGAUACUGACGCUGAGGUGCGAAAGCUAGGGUAGCAAACGGGAUUAGAUACCCCGGUAGUCCUAGCCGUAAACGAUGGGCACUGGGCAGGGGAGGUUCCUAUGCCUUCUCUGCCGUAGCUAAUGUGUUAAGUGCCCCGCCUGGGGAGUACGCUCGCAAGGGUA